rnacentral:rRNA from 1 species
UACGAAGGGGGCUAGCGUUGUUCGGAAUUACUGGGCGUAAAGCGCACGCAGGCGGAUUGAUUAGUCGGGGGUGAAAUCCCGGGGCUCAACCUCGGAAUUGCCUUCGAUACUGUCAGUCUUGAGUCCGGGAGAGGUGAGUGGAAUUCCUAGUGUAGAGGUGAAAUUCGUAGAUAUUAGGAAGAACACCAGUGGCGAAGGCGGCUCACUGGCCCGGUACUGACGCUCAUGUGCGAAAGCGUGGGGAGCAAACAGG